UUGCUACAGAGUUUUGGCAAGUGAAUUCUGAAAUUUACAUGAAGAGAUGCUUUUAAAGAAAAAUAACAAGCAAAUAAUGAAAUAAUUUAAAAUCAAGCAGCACUUGCUGAAAUUGCUUCACUAAAGCAAAAGAGUGAAGAACAGCAAUCUUUAGUGAAAACAAGUGAAUGAUGAAGGAAAAGGUGAAAUAGGCUGGGAGUGGAGCGUAGGGAUAGAGAGGAAUAUUGCUGAGCAACCAGGAGGAGACAGGACCAAGAAGAAAAAGGACAAGAAUUAAACGGGAUGCACCCAAGACCAACGAUAAAAGACAGAGUCUCACUAUCUUCGACUGGUCUCAAACUCCUGGCCUUAAACAAUCCUCCCACCUAGGCCUCUCAAAGUGCUGGGAUUACAGGUGUGAGCCACUAUGCCCAACCUGGUUAUAUGUUUUAAGACAGAAUAUGAAAUUAAAAAUAAAACAAACAAGCAAAAACAAAUUGGUUGUGUGAUACGCUGAACUUUAAGUUUCUCAGUUUUGUGAAACUCAUUAUUUCCUAAUGAAAUAUA